rnacentral:rRNA from 1 species
UGGUGGAUAUUGCACAAUGGGCGAAAGCCUGAUGCAGCGACGCCGCGUGGGGGAUGAAGGCCUUCGGGUUGUAAACUUCUUUUGCUCUGAACAAGGCAUGCUAAUGGGUGUGUUGAGUGUAGGGGUUGAUUAGCGCCGGCUAACUACGUGCCAGCAGCCGCGGUAAUACGUAGGGCGCGAGCGUUGUCCGGAAUUAUUGGGCGUAAAGGGCUUGUAGGUGGCUGGUUGCGUCUGUCGUGAAAGCUCAUGGCUUAACUGUGGGUUUGCGGUGGGUACGGGCUGGCUUGAGUGCAGUAGGGGAGGCUGGAAUUCCUGGUGUAGCGGUGGAAUGCGCAGAUAUCAGGAGGAAUACCGGUGGCGAAGGCGGGUCUCUGGGCUGUUACUGACACUGAGGAGCGAAAGCAUGGGGAGCGAACAGG